rnacentral:rRNA from 1 species
CCUACGGGUGACAGCAGUGAGGAAUAUUGGUCAAUGGGCGGGAGCCUGAACCAGCCAAGUCGCGUGAGGGAAGACGGUCCUAUGGAUUGUAAACCUCUUUAGGCGGGGAGCAAUGCCGGGCACGUGUGCCCGGAGGGAGAGUACCCGCAGAAUAAGCAUCGGCUAACUCCGUGCCAGCAGCCGCGGUAAUACGGAGGAUUCAAGCGUUAUCCGGAUUUAUUGGGUUUAAAGGGUGCGUAGGCGGUCGGAUAAGUUAGAGGUGAAAUCCCGAGGCUCAACCUCUUCGAGCCGUUGAAACUGGUUUUCUUGAGUGAGUGAGAAGUAUGCGGAAUGCGUGGUGUAGCGGUGAAAUGCAUAGAUAUCACGCAGAACUCCGAUUGCGAAGGCAGCAUACCGGCGCUCAACUGACGCUCAUGCACGAAAGUGUGGGUAUCGAACAGGAUUAGAUACCCGAGUAGUC